UACGUAGGGUGCGAGCGUUGUCCGGAAGUUACUGGGCGUAAAGAGCUCGUAGGUGGUUUGUCGCGUUGUCCGUGAAAACUCACAACUCAAUUGUGGGCGUGCGGGCGAUACGGGCAGACUGGAGUACUGCAGGGGAGACUGGAAUUCCUGGUGUAGCGGUGGAAUGCGCAGAUAUCAGGAGGAACACCGGUGGCGAAGGCGGGUCUCUGGGCAGUAACUGACGCUGAGGAGCGAAAGCGUGGGGAGCGAACAGG
rnacentral:rRNA from 1 species